rnacentral:rRNA from 1 species
GACGAACGCUGGCGGCGUGCUUAACACAUGCAAGUCGAGCGGAAAGGCCACUUCGGUGGUACUCGAGCGGCGAACGGGUGAGUAACACGUGAGUAAUCUGCCCCUGGCUUUGGGAUAGCCACCGGAAACGGUGAUUAAUACCGGAUACGACAACUUCUCGCAUGGGAUGGUUGUGGAAAGUUUUUCGGCCAGGGAUGUGCUCGCGGCCUAUCAGCUUGAUGGUGAGGUAAUGGCUCACCAUGGCUUCGACGGGUAGCCGGCCUGAGAGGGUGACCGGUCACACUGGGACUGAGACACGGCCCAGACUCCUACGGGAGGCAGCAGUGGGGAAUAUUGGACAAUGGGCGGAAGCCUGAUCCAGCAACGCCGCGUGAGGGAUGACGGCCUUCGGGUUGUAAACCUCUUUCGCCUGUGACGAAGCGCAAGUGACGGUAACAGGUAAAGAAGCACCGGCCAACUACGUGCCAGCAGCCGCCGUAAUAC